rnacentral:piRNA from 1 species
UUCCGAUUUGCUUCCGGGCUCAGAAUAAAGC